AAACUUUCAACAACGGAUCUCUUGGCUCUGGCAUCGAUGAAGAACGCAGCGAAAUGCGAUAAGUAAUGUGAAGUGCAGAAUUUAGUGAAUCAUCGAAUCUUUGAACGCACAUUGCGCCCCUUGGUAUUCCGAGGGGCAUGCCUGUUCGAGCGUC
rnacentral:rRNA from 1 species